CUUACAAACAAUUAUAAAAAAAAUGUUUAAAUUCUAUCUAGUAUUAAAUAUUAUAUUAUUGAAGAACUUUGAAUUUAAAGGUUUUAUGAAGUCUGCGAUGCCAGCAAUUCAAGAAAAGCUAAUAACUUUUAAACCAGAUACCAGAAUAUAUUUAUAACAAGAAACCCAUGCAAUGAAAUCUUAAUGAAUUACUGGAUUGUUUAGACAUGCAUUAACAAUACAUCUUACUAUAUGGCCCUAUAUUUUUGUAGAUGCAAAUUUUGAAAAGCAAUAAAUUGACAUCAUAUGCUUAUUAUUAAAACAAAACAUUUAUUAAUUAAAUUAAAUUAUGACUCAAUAAUAUAUUGUUGGCUGU